GUGUAAAAUUGGGAAAGGUGUGUAAAAUUGGGAAAGGUGUGUAUACUCAAAAGGUGUGUAGCAUAGAAAGGUGUGUAUAUUCAAAAGGUGUGUAAAAUUGGGAAAGGUGUGUAAAAUUGGGAAAGGUGUGUAAAAUUGGGAAAGGUGUGUAAAAUUGGGAAAGGUGUGUAUACUCAAAAGGUGUGUAGCAUAGAAAGGUGUGUAUAUUCAAAAGGCCAGGUGUGUAAAAUUGGGAAAGGUGUGUAUACUCAAAAGGUGUGUAGCAUAGAAAGGUGUGUAUAUUCAAAAGGUGUGUAAAAUUGGGAAAGGUGUGUAAAAUUGGGAAAGGUGUGUAUACUCAAAAGGUGUGUAGCAUAGAAAGGUGUGUAUAUUCAAAAGGUGUGUAAAAUUGAGAAAGGUGUGUAUAUUCAAAAGGUGUGUAAACUUGAGAAAGGUGUGUAUAUUCAAAAGGUGUGUAAAAUUGAGAAAGGUGUGUAUAUUCAAAAGGUGUGUAAAAGUGAGAAAAGUGUAUAGGGUGGAAAGGUGUGUAAUCAGUAAAGGUGUGUUUUUGCGUAAAAGAUGUGUAAAAUAACACACCUUUAAUAAGUACAAGCAAGGUGUGUAAUACAAAGGUGUGUAAUUUU